AUUGAACGCUGGCGGAAUGCUGUACACAUGCAAGUCGAACGGCAGCACGGACUUCGGUCUGGUGGCGAGUGGCGAACGGGUGAGUAAUACAUCGGAACGUGCCCAGUCGUGGGGGAUAACGUAGCGAAAGCUACGCUAAUACCGCAUACGAUCUAAGGAUGAAAGCGGGGGAUCGCAAGACCUCGCGCGAUUGGAGCGGCCGAUGGCAGAUUAGGUAGUUGGUAGGGUAAAGGCCUACCAAGCCGACGAUCUGUAGCUGGUCUGAGAGGAUGAGCAGCCACACUGGGACUGAGACACGGCCCAGGCUCCUACGGGAGGCAGCAGUGGGGAAUUUUGGACGAUGGGCGCAAGCCUGAUCCAGCCAUUCCGCGUGCAGGAUGAAGGCCUUCGGGUUGUAAACUGCUUUUGUACAGAACGAAAAGGCUCUGGUUAAUACCCGGGGCUCAUGACGGUACUGUAAGAAUAAGCACCGGCUAACUACGUGCCAGCAGCCGCAGUAA
rnacentral:rRNA from 1 species